ensembl:lncRNA
UUCAGAAGCCCAGCAGCAGAAGGGAGACCCUGCCAUGCUGCCGGUGUGAUGCUGAAAGUGAUUUUCAAUGUGAUACAGAAUUAGAUGGGGAGAGAGAAGGGCAGGAGCGGAGGGACUUGACUGAAAGUGCUGUAGUUUGCUGCAAGUAACUGCUGGUGGAAACUAGAUCUCUUUAAACAGAAACAGAUACUUCCCAAAGUGCACUGAACUUGUUUUGCUGUCUGCGUGCCAGUGCUGAGCGUGCAGCCUGUUUUGAAGGCCAGCGUGCUUUGAAAGCUGUUUUUCUGCCUGGCCCUGGAGUCCUUUGCAAAAACAAUAGUGCAGCACUUCCAGGAGCCCACACAAUUAUAAACUGCUAAAAAAAAGAAGCUUUUCAGUUAGAGAAAAGUUUUAGCCUGGGCAUUCAGUUGCAGUUCUAAAGAAUCCUGACGUCUCCCGUGGGUUGGUAAAGACCCUGGAGUGGAAAGCAGCUUGCACUGACAGACCAACAGGAGCUCAAAGAAUCACUGCUGCAGACAACUAUAAAUGUUUCCAUAAUAAAUAAUGAGGAGGCGUUACUUCUGGAGCAACCUGUCUAUUCCUCAGUCAUCGAAGGUGCUGAAAAGCAGAUAAGGCUGCACGUUUGCCUCCUCGUCAGCCACCCCACAGUACUGCUGGUUACACCGCUGGUGAAUGCUAACGUCAAACUGAUUUGCUCCCAAGAAGCCACUGCUGCGUGCUCCUGCAGGGAUGCUGCUGGCUGCCCCCCGCUCUCUGCUGUGCUUUGUGUGCUCCACGGGUGUUCUCUCCCUGAAGCAGUGGUUACGUGGGAUUUGGGGCUCCUUUUCCAACCCCUCCUGCGAAAGGAGAGCACAGAAACAACAGAGGAGUCAUCACGUUGCUGUGAAAAUACACAAGAUGUGUUGUCAGCAAUAGCUGCAGUGAUUGCUCGGUGGUGUCCAGAACCAGAGAGAAGGAAAGAUCUUCAGACCAAGAUGGAAACAGCCGGGGUUCCUUGGAAGAGCUGAGCCUUGAGGGCAGGACUAAGACUUCGAAAGACGGUGAUGGCCGUGGCACCUUCUCCUGGGUUGAGUUUAUCUGUAUUUUAUCCACAGGGUGGCACAUGGACCUUCCUGGGGAGAUCUGAAUGGUAUCACAGCGCAAACAGCUUUUGUUCGGGUAGCCGUAGUUCAGGCUGAGGCACAGCUGACCCAAAAUAGAGCCCAGACAGACAACGCCGAGGAUGGCUCGAGGCUUUGGGAGGACAUGGCAGAGGGAACCUUACCCUGUGUGGGGCACACAGAGCCUCGCCGAUGCUACACCUGCGCUGGAAGGAUAGGGGAGAUUUCCAAAUCAAUGUACCGGUGCUCAUUUUUUGUUUGUUUGUUUGAUUUUUGUUUUCAAAACCUGUGCAGGGCUGCUGGGUUGAUGUCACCACCGCUUUGUCUGGCUUUGGCCUGAGGGGCAGGAGGGAGUCUGGUCACCCCCGUAAUCCCAGCAGCCUCCAAUGGCAACGACAGCCCUCGGAUGAAUGAAGGCAGCAGCACUGUGCAAAUUACCUUUUCUUUCUUAUCCACAGUAAGACAGAUAAUAAUCCUCCUACGGGACUAAUUACAGCCAAUGAAAAUAACUCCCACUGCCAGUAUUUGAAGGAUAACCACUUAGAUGAAAAAGAGUGAACAAUGAUUAUUAUUUUGUGCGUGGCUCUCUCUCGCCCCAUCUAUUCUGACCUCAGUAAAUCACAGUGUAAUUAAUCACUGAGGAUUAAACACCGCAGGGAAAAGAGUAGGAAAUUAUGUAUAAGCAAAACUUGAAAUGACUUUGACUUACCAUAAAUUUGGGUUAUCUGUCUCACAGAAUACGUUUCCUAGGCUGCCUCUUACGGAAUAAAUCUAUCCCGACCUGUGUACAUGAGAACUGUAUGAAUAGUGAAGACUGGAGUAUCGAUGGGUGUGUAAGAAACUAAUCAAAAAAGGCAGUGACUGUGGAAGAUGUGGGUUGGCUCUUUGGGCAUUCCAGAAGCAGAAAAAUGCACAGAGAUCCCUCAGCAGACAGGGUAGGACUUAAGUGCUCAUCUUUAAACGUGGAAACCAGCCUCAGAGAGACUAGACAUUAAACUUUAUGUUUAACAAAGUGAAAAGAAGAUGUUCACUUAGCACUGAAGGC